rnacentral:rRNA from 1 species
UAGUGUAGGNNNNNNAUCCGUAGAUAUUAGAAGGAACACCGAUAGCGUAGGCAGGUUACUGGGGCGUUUCUGACACUAAGGCACGAAAGCGUAGGGAGCAAACGGGAUUAGAUACCCCGGUAGUCUACGCCGUAAACGAUGGAUGCUAGCUGUGGGGGGUAUCGACCCCUUCCGUAGCGAAGCUAACGCGUUAAGCAUCCCGCCUGUGUAGUACGAUCGCAAGAUUAAAACAUAAAGGAAUUGACGGGGACCCGCACAAGCGGUGGAGCGUGAUCUUUAAUUCGAUGCUAAACGAUAAACCUUACCAAGGCUUGACAUCCAGAGAAGGCCUCCGAAAGGAGACUGUGCCUUCGGGAACUCUGUGACAGGUGAUGCAUGGCCGUCGUCAGCUCGUGUCGUGAGAUGUUUGGUUAAGUCCAUCAACGAGCGCAACCCUUGUCAGCAGUUGGAUUUUUCUGCUGAAACUGCCCCGGUAACGAGGAGGAAGGAGGGGAUGAUGUCAGGUCAGUAUUUCCCUUACGCCUUGGGCUAGAAUCGCGCUACAAUGGCCAGUACAAUGCGAAGCGAAGUCGCGAGGUGAAGCAAAUCGCACCAAAGCUGGUCCCAGUUCGGAUAGGAGGCUGAAACUCGCCUCCUUGAAGUCGGAAUCGCUAGUAAUCGCAAAUCAGCAUGUUGCGGUGAAUACGUUCCCGGGUCUUGUACACACCGCCCGUCAAACCAUGAGAGUCACCAACACCCGAAGUCCGUUUCGGCGGCCUAAGGUGGGGGAGAUGAUUGGGGUUAAGUCGUAACAAGGUAACCA